ACGGAAGGCAGCAGUGGGGGAUAUUGCACAAUGGGCGCAAGCCUGAUGCAGCGACGCCGCGUGAGUGAAGAAGUAUUUCGGUAUGUAAAGCUCUAUCAGCAGGGAAGAAAAUGACGGUACCUGACUAAGAAGCUCCGGCUAAAUACGUGCCAGCAGCCGCGGUAAUACGUAGGGGGCAAGCGUUAUCCGGAUUUACUGGGUGUAAAGGGAGCGUAGACGGUAGUGCAAGUCUGAAGUGAAAGCUCGCAGCUUAACUGCGGAACUGCUUUGGAAACUGUACAACUAGAGUACCGGAGGGGUAAGCGGAAUUCCUAGUGUAGCGGUGAAAUGCGUAGAUAUUAGGAAGAACACCGGUGGCGAAGGCGGCUUACUGGACGGUAACUGACGUUGAGGCUCGAAAGCGUGGGGAGCAAACAGGAUUAGAUACCCUGGUA
rnacentral:rRNA from 1 species